GACGAACGCUGGCGGCGUGCCUAAUACAUGCAAGUCGAGCGCAGGAACUCGACGGAACCCUUCGGGGGGAAGUCGACGGAAUGAGCGGCGGACGGGUGAGUAACACGUAAAGAACCUGCCCUCAGGUCUGGGAUAACCACGAGAAAUCGGGGCUAAUACCGGAUGGGUCAUCGGACCGCAUGGUCCGAGGAUGAAAGGCGCUUCGGCGUCGCCUGGGGAUGGCUUUGCGGUGCAUUAGCUAGUUGGUGGGGUAAUGGCCCACCAAGGCGACGAUGCAUAGCCGACCUGAGAGGGUGGUCGGCCACACUGGGACUGAGACACGGCCCAGACUCCUACGGGAGGCAGCAGUAGGGAAUCUUCCACAAUGGACGAAAGUCUGAUGGAGCAACGCCGCGUGAACGAUGGAGGCCUUCGGGUCGUAAAGUUCUGUUGUAAGGGAAGAACAAGUGCCGCAGGCAAUGGCGGCACCUUGACGGUACCUUGCGAGAAAGCCACGGCUAACUACGUG
rnacentral:rRNA from 1 species